UCGCCCGUUUAAAUUAUACAAUAAAUAAAUAAAUAAAUAAAUAUAGUAUAUCAACUAUAUUUUACAUAUUAUCUUUUACCAGCAGGGGAUAAUAUUGUAGAAGGCUUCACCGGUCAAUGCAUACAAAGCCAAAAUUACAUAAAUAGUAAUAAUUUGUUAGCCUGUAAAUAAGAUGUGUGAUUACAGGCACGAAACGAUAUACCUGCCUCAACUCGUCAAAUAUCAAGUUCGUUCACCUGCAUAAUUUUACAUCAUAUUCAAUUCUUUAUCUUAUCCUUGCGCCUUCCUGAAUACAUGUUGAUUGUAUUUUUUGAAAUAUAAUUUAUGGAAUAUUUUAUUGCUGUUUGAAUAGAAUUAUGUAAAUCAUUUCAAAAACUUCAAUGUUCACUUUUGUUUAUUGAAAUGAAAAUGAAAUCCUUCUUGAAUACAUCUAUAUUUUUAGUUCAUCUUGCUACUUUAUUGUCUUGAUAAUUCAUCAAUAUUCAUAUCUUUGGUUUUACUAUAAGUAAAAGAUAAGAUUCCAUCUCCUUAAGACUUUUUGUUGAUUGGAAUAAAAAUAAAAUCCUUCUUGAAUAUGUCUAUAUUUUUAGUCCAUUAUGCUACUUUAUUGUCUUUAUAAUACAUCAAUAUUCCUUUCUUUCUUUUUAAAAUGAUGUCAACAUUUGGGAUCACUUUUUAACUAAUACAAAGUGCAUAGAUUGAAUACUAUACAGUAUAUAGUAUAUCAACUAUAUAUUACAUAUUAUCUUUUACCAGCAGGGGAUAAUAUUGUACGUACAAUAUAAUGAUUCAAUGCCGUCAUGCGUUCAAUUUCGGUUCAUUACUAUUUCUUAAGACGGAAUGUUUAUUUCGUUAAAGGAAAUAAGUUUAAUACUGCUUCAGAAGUUAAAGAUAAGAAACUCUUUUAGACUUUUUGUUUAUUGGAAUAAAAAUGAAAUCCUUCUUGAAUACAUCUAAAUUUUUAGUCCAUCUAACUACUUUAUUGUUAUUAAAAUUCAUCAAUAUUCAUAUCAUUGUUUUUACAAUAAGUAAAAGAUAAGAAUCCCUCUCUUUUAGAUUUUUUGUUUAUUAGAAUGAAAAUUAAAUCCUUCUUGAAUAUGUCUAUAUUUUUAGUCCAUCUUGCUACUUCAUUGUCUUUAUAAUUCAUCAAUAUUCCUAUCCUUGUUCUUACAAUGUUGUCAAUUGAUAUCAUAAUCAAUCCUUUAUCCUAUUCUUGCGCCUUCCUUAAUGCAUGUUGAUUGUAUUUUUUGAAAUACAAUUUAUGGAACAUUUUUAUUGCGUUUUGAAAUGAUUUACAUAUCUAGCAUGUUUAUUAUUACCCGGACGUAUCUACACCGUACCCGUUUGCUGAUGCUCACCACGAAGCACACUUAAAUACCCGUACCUUUCACGUGUAAAACUGAUGCACAUAGAGAACGCUAUGAAGAAACCACGUCAACUCUCCAGACAACCCGACUACACGCUGCACUGGUCUAUGCUGAUAGUCGUGAUACUCAACGGCGCUUCGGCUUCUUCGGAUAUGUACGCUACGGGGAACGGUUCUUGGGUACCGUGCCACUCAACUUGCCAUCGGAUAACAGGGUGACCUAAUAUUCUGCAUAUGUAUUACCUAUUCGCUACGCCUGUAAACGGGGUGUCUCGUGAUAAGUAAUAUAAUUUAUUAUAUUGUAAUUGUCGAUUUCUUGUAACUUUGAGAUUUCUAAUGACUUACGGACUCCAGCUGUUCGUCACCUUGGACCUAGUGUGGCAAUGGCUCAGAAGAAGGACCAAGAAAAAAGUUUUUCUGAGGACUGGAUAGAAAAAACAAGAAGAGUCUAGUAGCGGCGCUGACGUCAAGGGACGUAAAGUCUGAAAAAGGCAGACUUAAAAUCGCCGAUCGCAGGAUACUACAACUUGUGAAAAAUUCCACAUAUUUCAUUUUGGCCUGGUCUGCACUGACCGGUGGAGCCUUCUAUAAUUUACGAGAGAUGUUUGCUCUGGCUUCCGGAACACAAACUAUAAUUCCAGAUCUAUAAUCGACCAUUCCAUAACAAUGAUGAGCUAAGUCGACGACAUGGGCCUGUAUUGGGUGAAGACACCACCAACCGUAUACCCACGUCUCAAUUCAUCAGUUGUCACUCGUCGUAACGUAUAAUUUUCCCCAUAACCCCCCCCCCCCACACCAAAACCACCAAUACAAACACGUAUUAGAGGCGUCGCAUGAUGUGGGUCCCUUUCUUUCCAUUUCCUUCUUCUUAUUAUUUAUUUAAUAUAAUUGAUCAUCUAGUUUUAUUGUUGCAAGUCAUAAAUCACAUGACAAAAGAAAAGUACACUUAGAAAAUCAAUAUAAAAAUAUGACUAUUAAAACAUUAUUAUUAUUAAAAGAUUUACGCUUAGACGGCGUACGGGUCACAGAUCGCCUUGCUCUGGCGCCGACACCAAGAUGUUUUAUUGUAUACAGAGCACAAGCUCACAAAAUUAUUAUUACUCGUGUCGACGUUUGCUACAUUAUUUGCAAUGAUCUUAUAUUAUUCUUUAAAUUAAAAUACAUGUUUUUAUUAUUAUUCCUCUUAAUCCUCUUAAACCAUAAACUCUAUUAUUUUUUCUAUACUCGCAACGUGCUAACCUCUUAGUAUGUUCACAAAGCAACACUCAAAAAAUUGUUAUUGUAUUAUUCACUAAGCGAAACAAAUUAUUAUUAUAAAUUGUAAUUUGCCAUUAUUAUUAUUUUGUUGAUUACCUUGGUCCAAUAUAUGUUAAUCAAAUGCCGAUGAUUGUUAAGGAUAAUAUAUUCAAUGGUGUACUUGGAGAAAAAUAGUUUAUAGGUGGAUUUACUCUAAAUUAUACAUCUCAUAAUAAUAGUCCUUAUGUAAUUUAAUUUUUUGUCUUAUUAUUUAAUUCUGUUUAUAAUUUUUAAAAAAUGUAAUUUUUAUAUCGAUUUUGUACCACACUAUGUUUUAUCAACUUUAAUAUGAAAUGUAUUUAUUGUCUUUAUUUAUUUGUUAUUAUUAUAUUAUAUACAAAAUAUCAACAAAAUAAUGUUAAACUCCUACUCCAUCAAAAGUUAAGUUUACAGGAGUCAUACUUGUAUUUAUAUUUUUACUUCAUUGUUAUAAUGGAAAAAAAAAUUACUUGCCCAUACAGCUAUGUGCAUACAAAUUAUAAUUAUAAAACUGUCAUUCUUUUUAUUGUAUUUCACUACAAAUUAUCACUUUUUGUUGGAUGUAAAAUAUAAAA